rnacentral:tRNA from 2 species
GGUGGAUUACUCAAGUGGCUGAAGAGGACGGUUCUGAAAACCGUUAGGCGGACUGUAUCCGCGCGGGGGUUCGAAUCCCCCAUCCACCU